rnacentral:rRNA from 1 species
GAGGCAUUGCCUGCCCAGUGACUAAAGUUAAACGGCCGCGGUAUCCUGACCGUGCAAAGGUAGCAUAAUCACUUGUUCCUUAAUUAGGGACUAGAAUGAAUGGCUAAACGAGGGUUCAACUGUCUCUUACUUUCAAUCAGUGAAAUUGACCUUCCAGUGAAGAGGCUGGAAUCUCCCAAUAAGACGAGAAGACCCUAUGGAGCUUCAAUUUACUAGUUCAACUUAUAUAAAAACAACCUAAUGGGCUAAAACAAAAUAAAUAUGAACUAAAAAAUUUCGGUUGGGGUGACCUCGGAGAAUAAAAAAUCCUCCGAAUGAUUUUAACCUAGACUCACAAGUCAAAGUAAUACUAAUAUCUUAUUGACCCAAUUAUUGAUCAACGGACCAAGUUACCCUAGGGAUAACAGCGCAAUCCUAUUUAAGAGUUCAUAUCGACAAUUAGGGUUUACGACCUCGAUGUUGGAUCAGGACAUCCCAAUGGUGCAGAAGCUAUUAAUGGUUCGUUUGUUCAACGAUUAAAGUCCUACGUGAUCUG